rnacentral:rRNA from 1 species
GUAGGUGGCAAGCGUUGUCCGGAAUUAUUGGGCGUAAAGCGCGCGCAGGCGGUCCUUUAAGUCUGAUGUGAAAGCCCACGGCUCAACCGUGGAGGGUCAUUGGAAACUGGGGGACGUUGAGUACAGAAGAGGAAAGCGGAAUUCCAAGUGUAGCGGUGAAAUGCGUAGAGAUUUGGAGGAACACCAGUGGCGAAGGCGGCUUUCUGGUCUGUAACUGACGCUGAGGCGCGAAAGCGUGGGGAGCAAACAGGGAUUAGAUACCCUGGUAGUCCACGCCGUAAACGAUGAGUGCUAAGUGUUAGGGGGUUUCCCGCCCCUUAGUGCUGCAGCUAACGCAUUAAGCACUCCGCCUGGGGAUACGGCCGCAAGGCUG